UCUAUUAGAGGAAAACCCCAUAGCACCUGCCAAAUAUAAGCUGCCUUUGGUCUUAUACGUCUUUUCAAUAUUCUGUCCAGGCACCACCAAACUUUUCACUUAGAAGGAAGUGAUUGUUUUACCAGAAGAGAUUAUUUAUUUCUAUAUGCUGAAAUCAAAAAUUGAAAAAAGACCAGAAGAUCCAAAGAGAUGCAGAGACAGCCAGCACUAUGACAUCAGGAGAACAAAAAGCAAAAUUUUGAAAAAAGCUCAGAUAAUAAGCAAAGGAGAAUAAAAUCUGAGACUUAAAUUUUGUGGCCACAUCUGGAAAUGAGGGGCAGAAAUGUAAAGCUCUCCUUCCCUUGGGGAUGUAUCAAGCUGUGUGGAUGAAAAGCCCGUGCUGGGCAAGGACUGGCCACAGCGCAGAGUCUGAGCUGGUGGUACUCGGGAGACUGUUCACUCCCAUGUCCCCACCUAAUGAUUAUAGCUGCCACUGACUUGGGAUCUGAUAACAGAUGCCUAUCUGUGUCUCACAGGCUUCUGGAACUCAACACAUACCAGAUUCUCUCAGGUCCAGGUUGCUUAGGUUUCUGGAUGCUGUGGGCCAUCCCCCAAACCUCUGGGUUCAGAUCUGCUCUGAGGAGUUCAAGGGAGAGAACAGCAGCAGCAGGUGGGAAGCUUUGGUGUGAAGCAUGCAGAAAAUCCAGGAAUUAUGCAAUUACGCAGCAGGCCCACGAUGCAAACCUCUUCAGCACAAACACACAUCCUCCGCUUCGGCUUGAUGUGGUAGCAUAACUGUCGCCCUAAUUCCUGAUACCUUUCUCCCCCAAGCCGUUCCCAAUGGAGAAAAAUAACUAACCCGGGCAAUGCAGAAGAGCCUUCCACACCCUGCCGAGGAUUCCAUCAUCAUCACAAGCAACGUGUUGCUCUAGUACAAUGGUUUUUGAAGAGUAGUCCCUGGACGGGCAGCGUCAGCAUCACCAGGGAAGAUGUUAAUCAUUCCAGACCCCCUAAAUCAGAAACUCUGGGGAUGGGGCCUGGCAAUCUCGUUUUAACAAACCCUCCUGGAAAUAGAAGAAGGAAAAAAGGAAGAGAGAAAUGAAACAAAACAAAAGCCCUUGGCUGGAUGGCUGUGUCUCAGGUAGAAAGAAGUUAAAUGGCAAAAUAGGCGUGCAAAACAGGUGUGCAAAGCACGCUGGAUGGAGAAUACCAAGUGCGGAGGGUGUGUGCCACUCCAGAUAAUGCCACUCAGGCCUGGCCGAAAAAGCCUCCAGGCUGAGCCAGAAUGCUCUGUUCUAAGCGCCUCAAAGUUUCUGGCUCUGCCCUCUUUUUUUCUCACAGAGAUACACAGCUGACACAGGCACACUUGGGAACAACUCCCAAUAGCAAACUUAGGUUCCUAGUUAAUCUCCCACACAUCUGGAUCUGUCUUGAAAGUUACAGACAAUGCACAUGAAGGACAGCACUGCCACCGGGCAGGAGGGGGCCCUCUCCUCCCUAUGGAGAGUAGUGAGCGGGGACUAGGCUACAGCCCUGUGGUGGGAGUGGGGAGGCUGUCUCUCGGACGUCGGAGAGAAGUUUGGGAUGUUGUGGUAUCUGGCUGGUCCUGGUUCCUCUCACUUGUGGUCUAUGCUUAUUUAUAUUAUCUGGAAAGCUGGCAGAGACCUGCCCAGACACAAAAGUCCCAGCUUCUGCAAGACUACUUGAUAGCCUGUGCAUCCAAAGUGACAACUGAGGAAGUAGGCUGCGUGCAGAAACGCAGGAUGGGGGUUGCUGUUGGUAGGGUCAGCUGACCUGUCUGGAAGGGCGCACUUGCCACUGAGGCAGUGGAAACCUGGUUCUAGCCCACUGUCUCCCCUCUCACCCUUCUGUCCUAGGUCCCUCCUAUUCUCUGUCAAUUUCCAGACUAGGACUCUGACACCCCUGGGCUUCUGCUUAUAUUAUUCCUUCUGACAAGAACACCCCUCCACCACGUUCCCUACACGGCCAGCUUCUCUCUCACUCCCUCCCUCGCCUGGCCGUCCUGUUCCAAGGGAGAAAAACUAGAGGGCUCUUUCGUUUAGCCUGCAAAGUGAUUUUAAAAUCAGGAGACUUCAUGGAAAUAUCCAGCUUGCUUCACAAACUGGAAGAUCUGGCAAUAUUGCCCCCCCACUGCUGCAUGGCAAUAAUUACCUUGUUCUAAGUAGCAGCUGUCCCCACUGGAUGAGACAUAAGCAUUACACUUCUCUAAGGCCUUCACUACUCCCUGAUGUAUUUUGGAUUUACACCCCUGUGAUACACUGUACCUUUUCUAAAUCUCUACUUUUAAAAACUUUUACUUUUUUUUUUUUGGCUGCGUUGGGUCUUCCUUGCUGUGCGCAGGCUUUCUCUAGUUGCGGUGAGCAGGGGCUACUCUUCGAUGCGGUGGCGGGCUUCUCAUUACAGUGGCUCUCCUUGUUGCGGAGCACGGGCUCUAGGCGUGUGGGCUUCAGUAGUUGUGGCACGCAGGCUCAGUAGUUGUGGAUUGUGGGCUCUAGAGCGCAGGCUCAGUAGUUGUGAUGCACGGGCUUAGUUGCUCCGUGCAACUGAGAUGUGAGAUCUUCCCAGACCAGGGCUCAAACCCGUGUCCCCUGCAUUGGCAGGCAG